UACGUAGGGUGCAAGCGUUGUCCGGAAUUAUUGGGCGUAAAGAGCUCGUAGGCGGUCUGUUGCGUCUGCUGUGAAAACCCGGGGCUUAACCCCUGGCUUGCAGUGGAUACGGACAGACUAGAGGUAGGUAGGGGAGAAUGGAAUUCCCGGUGUAGCGGUGAAAUGCGCAGAUAUCGGGAGGAACACCGGUGGCGAAGGCGGUUCUCUGGGCCUUACCUGACGCUGAGGAGCGAAAGCGUGGGGAGCGAACAGG
rnacentral:rRNA from 1 species